rnacentral:lncRNA from 1 species
AUGGAUUAGUCCAUUGGUCACCUGCAUUUGUAACAGCAGCUUAAUUCAGACUACAAAACAUACACUUGG